GAUGAACGCUGGCGGCGUGCCUAAUACAUGCAAGUCGAGCGAACGGACGAGAAGCUUGCUUCUCUGAUGUUAGCGGCGGACGGGUGAGUAACACGUGGAUAACCUACCUAUAAGACUGGGAUAACUUCGGGAAACCGGAGCUAAUACCGGAUGAUAUUUUGAACCGCAUGGUUCAAAAGUGAAAGACGGUCUUGCUGUCACUUAUAGAUGGAUCCGCGCUGCAUUAGCUAGUUGGUAAUGUAACGGCUUACCAAGGCAACGAUGCAUAGCCGACCUGAGAGGGUGAUCGGCCACACUGGAACUGAGACACGGUCCAGACUCCUACGGGAGGCAGCAGUAGGGAAUCUUCCGCAAAGGGCGAAAGCCUGACGGAGCAACGCCGCGUGAGUGAUGAAGGUCUUCGGAUCGUAAAACUCUGUUAUUAGGGAAGAACAUAUGUGUAAGUAACUGUGCACAUCUUGACGGUACCUAAUCAGAAAGCCACGGCUAACUACGUG
rnacentral:rRNA from 1 species